CAUGACUAGCAUGUUGGUUAAGUGUAUAUUUGUAUUGGUUAUAGUUAUUCAAACGUGUCAUAUUCUAAAAGUAAAACAAUUAAAAAUUCUGUUUGUGAUACUUACAUUUGGUGUGCCCCAUCUUCCUUAUCAUGUCAUGCAAGAAUAUGUUAAUACCUUUUUCUCCUUGGAAAGAAUACUAAUAGAGUUGUUCACCAGAUGUUGAAAAUUUGAAACUUCUCAUCAUGCUGGUCUAUGUUAACUGUGAU
rnacentral:lncRNA from 1 species